rnacentral:misc_RNA from 1 species
AUGCAACAUCAAUUCUUAUCAGCUGCCUGUGUUAUUAGACAUAACAAUCUCUUUUCUCUAAAUGGGUAAGUUACCUGGAUAUAAAUGAUAAGAGUUCCAGAACAAUUGUCAGUUAUGUUAAAGAAAAAAGAAAUCAUGAGAUGCAAUUCUAGAAUGACUUCAUAUUUUCAUAAAUAUAUCAGGAAUUAAAUCACCAAUUUAUUAUUGCAUUCAAGGGGUAAAUUUAAGGGAGCUUACAUCAGACAUUGUACAUACUCAAGACCUGUUAAAGAACAUCAAUUAAAAAGAAAACAAGUAAUCAUGAAAGAGAAGACCAGACCUGUCCGUCAGCAGCAGCAGCAU